rnacentral:rRNA from 1 species
AACGAACGCUGGCGGCAGGCUUAACACAUGCAAGUCGAACGCACCUUUCGGGGUGAGUGGCCGACGGGUGAGUAACGCGUGGGAAUCUACCCUUCUCUACGGGAUAGCUCCGGGAAACUGGAAUUAAUACCGUAUACGUCCUGAGGGAGAAAGAUUUAUCGGGGAAGGAUGAGCCCGCGUUGGAUUAGCUAGUUGGUGGGGUAAAGGCCUACCAAGGCGACGAUCCAUAGCUGGUCUAAGAGGAUGAUCAGCCACAUUGGGACUGAGACACGGCCCAAACUCCUACGGGAGGCAGCAGUGGGGAAUAUUGGACAAUGGGCGCAAGCCUGAUCCAGCCAUGCCGCGUGAGUGAUGAAGGCCCUAGGGUUGUAAAGCUCUUUCAGUGGGGACGAUAAUGACGGUACCCACAGAAGAAGCCCCGGCUAACUUCGU